rnacentral:RNase_P_RNA from 1 species
UAGCCAGAUUGUCGCUGCGCAAGCAGAGGAAAGUCCGGGCUCCCUAGGGCAGCAUGCCAGGUAACGCCUGGGAGAUGUGAAUCUACGGCCAGUGCCACAGAAAAGAUACCGCCAACAUGUUGGUAAGGGUGAAAUGGUGCGGUAAGAGCGCACCGCGCCACUGGUAACAGUGGUGGCAGGGUAAACCCCAUGCGGAGCAAGACCAAAUAGGAGCCUUAUAGCGCGGCCCGCGUUGGGCUCGGGUUGGUCGCUUGAGCAAGUUGGUGACAACUUGCCUAGAUGAAUGACAAUCCAUGACAGAACCCGGCUUAUCGGCUGACUCA